CCUACGGGUGGCAGCAGUGGGGAAUAUUGCACAAUGGGGGCAACCCUGAUGCAGCGACGCCGCGUGAGUGAAGAAGUAUUUCGGUAUGUAACGCUCUAUCAGCAGGGAAGAAAAUGACGGUACCUGACUAAGAAGCCCCGGCUAACUACGUGCCAGCAGCCGCGGUAAUACGUAGGGGGCAAGCGUUAUACGGAUUUACUGGGUGUAAAGGGAGCGUAGUUGGGAUAGUAAGCGAGAUGGGAAAACCCAGGGCUCAACUCUGUGGAUUGCGUUUGGAACUCGCAUGCUAGAGUGCUCGAGGGGUAGGCGGAAUGCCUGGUGUAGCGGUGAAAUGCAUAGAUAGUAGGCGGAACCCCGAUGGCGAAGGCAGCUUACUGGACAGAAACUGACACUGAGGCUCGAAAGCGUGGGGAGCAAACAGGAUUAGAUACCCCUGUAGUC
rnacentral:rRNA from 1 species